rnacentral:SRP_RNA from 2 species
GCUGGGCGCGGUGGCUCACGCCUGUAAUCCCAGCACUUUGGGAGGCCGAGGUGGGUGGAUCACCUGAGGUCAGGAGUUCAAGACCAGCCUGACCAACAUGGAGAAAACCCGUCUCUA